ACCUCAAAAUUUGCCCUCAUAUAUUUACAAACGCCAUUUUAUUUCGAAUAAAUGAAUUGGCACAGUUGGUAAGAAUUUGAGCGUGAAUGGUACAAUAGCACGAGGUCUCGUGCUCGAGUCACAUUAUUAACAUUUUUUAUUUUAUUUGUUACUAACUUAAUUUCCGUUUAAUUUACUUUUUUUAAAUCGCAAAAAAUUUGUUUGUUUAUUUUGCAAUUAAUUUUUUAUUUUAGUUGUUACUAACAUUUUAGGCUAGUUUUUUAAUUGGUUAAAUAUAAUUAUAAAAACUCAAUGAGAAUAAUUCCUUCUAUUUGGGCUUUUAGUUAUUUUUAAUUAAUUUUGGUCCAUCAAAUUUAACCUAAUUUUGUAUAUUAUAAAUAGGACAACCUUUACACAACUGAAAAAAGGGAGGAGAACCCUAUUUGACGAAACCUUUUUUUUACACUGCACAUAUUUUCCACAACUAACCCACCCAUUCACUCUUGCACAGUUGAAAAAUUUUCCAGAGAUUUUACUGUCACGUCUAUAUUCUUGUUCAUAAAAAAUAAUACCCACUUGGUAUAUACUUUCUAACACACAAGAAAGAAGAGAAGUUUCAGAUCGAAACAAAUCGCAGAACAACUUACUCUAUCAACGCAAGGUUCAUAGCUCAGCACUGAUCCGACAACACACCGCAAACGGCGCCGACAACCGCACCGGCCACCCUCAGACGCGUCACCGCGAUUCACCUUCUCGUCGGAUCCACACGACGAUACUUUUCUCUUUUUGUUCUUCCAAUUUUCAGAUCUUGAUUCAUGAAGGGUUAGCAACAGUGUUUCCUUUCGACUACGCGCCCGAUCAAAAACCCAGAGCUAAGUAUCUUAUCUUUAAAGUCUAUUUUGUUUCCUCUUGAUUUUAGGGUUUGCCCUUAUAUUCCUGAACUGUGCAUACAUUCACUCCAUCUAUUUUUCUGCCUUGCCUUUUGUCUUUUCAGGUUUAGUCUCAAGGCAUCCUCCGUCCGCCAACCAUGUCAGAUCAAAUCAAAAGAUAAGUAUUCUUCCUAUUCUAAACACUUAUUCAUUAAGUUUUAUUUGUAGUUGUUAAAUUAGGGCUAACCCUAAUUGACCACUGAACCGAUAAUGCACUCACUAUGUUUUGCCCUUUUAUUUUUCCUGCCUUUUCAGGGUUCGUCAAUUGCCAAAGCGUCGAAUAUCGGUAACCUUAAACCCUGAUCUCAAUUAUUACUUGUGUUAAACCUUUUGUUUUAAUUAUAUCCCGCUGGUUUCAAUUCCCCUCUCCUCCGCUGGUUGCAAUUUCCCUUCCCCCAUUAUUACUGUUAAUAUUAAUUGUUAUGGUUAGUAAUUUUAGGGAGUGCAACUUGUUAAUUGAAUUAGAAUCACUAAACUAUAAGAUAAAUAUCUGAAUAUAAUCACGUGAUUGUUGCACCCACGCACACUUUUGGGGUAACCUCUCUGUUGCCUGUUGCCUUGUUACCUUGUGUUUCUUGCAGAAUAGCCCUGUCCCUCGAAUACGAGGAUACCUCAGCCAUGUUGCCUCGAUUAAAGGUCAUGGUCCCUAAUGAUGCUGCCUUUGAUACACUAACGUGACCUCGAACCUCGGAAGCUGCCUACGGAAAAGGCUGAGGUAUCUUCUGGUUGCCUACGAAAGGCUAUUCUGAUCCUUCCCCUUAGACUACCUGCCUCUCUAUGGCAUGGGUCAGUCUUUGAGCGAAUGAUAAUUCGAUGACCCUUCUACCUCCAAACGAAAGGCUUCCUGCCCUCUUAUGGCAAGGACUGACCCUUUCAUUCUGAAAGGCUAAAAAGAGACCUAUCAUCUGAGUUUAAGGUAAUUGCCCCUAAUUGCCUUGCCAUGCUCUAUUUUCUAUAUUCUUUCUCAAAAUUCCUCAAAAACUGGCUACGCUCAUUUACGAGCUAAAGUCCAUUUUUUCCACUUUCAUCUACAUUUUCUGAAAACGAGCAAGCAAAGCAAUUAAGAGCCCAUGGAAAACCAUGGAUGCAAAGGGUGCCUUACACCUUCCCUUUGCAUAAAUUACCCCCCGAACUUAGAUUUCUUUAAAAGGUUUUUUUCUGUUUCUUUUAGCCUUUCUGAAUUUGUUUGGAUAAAAUAAAAGUCGGUGGCGACUCAUGCUUAACCGCGACAUUUC